CGCGUAGGCGGCGUGACAAGUCAGUUGUGAAAUCUCUGAGCUUAACUCAGAACGGUCAACUGAUACUGUUGUGCUAGAGUGCAGAAGGGGCAACCGGAAUUCUUGGUGUAGCGGUGAAAUGCGUAGAUAUCAAGAGGAACACCUGAGGUGAAGACGGGUUGCUGGGCUGACACUGACGCUGAGGCGCGAAAAGCUAGGGUAGCAAACG
rnacentral:rRNA from 1 species